rnacentral:lncRNA from 1 species
AUUUUUCUAUACAUCUCCAUCAGAUUUGAAUCAUGGAACGGGAGAUAUCCAGCUAAUAGAACAUAUAAGAUCACACCACAUGACCAGAUAUCAGCUUUGGCACCAUCAUAGCCCCUCCUGUUGAUCACUUCGGGAGAAACAUAGGCAGGUGUCCCACAUGUUGUGUGAAGUAAACCGUCCUGCCGCUUGGAUUCCGCAAGAGCACUCAAUCCAAAAUCUGAGACUUUUAGGUUUCCAUUUUCAUCCAAAAGCAGGUUCUCAGGUUUAAGAUCCCUGUGAUAAACACCUCUACUAUGGCAGAAAUCAACUGCACUUAUCAGCUGUUGAAAAUAUUUCCUUACAACAUCUUCUUUCAGCUUCCCUUUGGCCACCUUGUUAAACAGCUCACCACCUUUUAUAUAUUCCAUGACAAAAUAUAUCUUAGUUUUGGUGGCCAUAACCUCAUAAAGCUGAACAAUAUUUGGGUGCCUAACAAGUCUCAUUACAGAGAUUUCUCGUUUGAUUUGAUCAAUCAUCCCAGCCUUCAAGAUCUUCUCCUUGUCAAUUAUCUUAAUGGCCACAUUCAUGCCAGUCUUGAGAUUUCUUGCAUGGUGAACCUUGGCAAAGGUGCCUUGUCCAAGCAAUUUCCCCAAUUCAAACCUUUGCAUUAACACACUUCCUUUAUUUUCCAUCUCUAAAUCUACCAUAACAGGUAAGAGCUAAUUUUCUAUUGCCCCCCACAAACAGUUUUAUAGAUAUUUAUGUCGAGAAAUUAAUACUCAGGAAUGAAGUAACUCAACCAUCUUCACAGAGGUCAUGAUACGAAACAAUUUGUCCUCUAAAAUACUUACCUACACUAGGUACUUGACUGAAAAAAUGGAUAGGGUUGUACGUUAUCUGUCCUAUCUUAUCAAGGAUAAUAUGGGGAAGCUCGUAUGGAGCUUCAACCCCAUCAACCUUAGAGAACGACUGUCUGUCCAGCAAGCACAUUUUUCGGCAUUCCCUGCAAUUUCUUUCAAAGGAACCAUCUUCACAGAGGUCAUGAUACGAAACAAUUUGUCCUCUAAAAUACUUACCUACACUAGGUACUUGACUGAAAAAAUGGAUAGGGUUGUACGUUAUCUGUCCUAUCUUAUCAAGGAUAAUAUGGGGAAGCUCGUAUGGAGCUUCAACCCCAUCAACCUUAGAGAACGACUGUCUGUCCAGCAAGCACAUUUUUCGGCAUUCCCUGCAAUUUCUUUCAAAGAAAAUACAGAAGAAGAUGAGCAAGUAAAAGAUUUUUUCCUCUGGAACACCUAUCAAGUGAAGAAAAAGGUAUGAAUUCCAAAUUCUUCACCGCCAAAUGGAUUAGAUGUCCACCUGCAGAUAUUAGAAACAAGAUAUAUGAAUAUCAAAAUAUUAAUAACAAAAAGAAAGAAUUCUUUACAGAUUCCUAUAAGCAGGAUCACAGUAAAAUAUAUGUCCACAGCAUAUAAAUUUAAUGCACAUAGAAAUAUGGCAGUUAGAAGCAUAUUCGUUGUACCCAUUCUCACCUUGAAACAAUACAAUUUAGCCCCUAUUUGAGAAUAUUUUUUGGGGAAAUGUAUUUUAGAAUAGUGAUUUUCUAAGAAUGUGUGGUUAAAAGAUAGAGAAAAAUUUUUGAUUUACGUAAAAAAUGAGUUUUGAAUAAAUGAAUUUUGGAAAAAAAAGGGGGGGGGGGGGGGGGUAAAAAACCGUGUAGAGUUUUGAUGUCCCCUCAUGACAAUAAGAUGCCCCGACUCACCUUCAAAACUCCACAUUCACCAAAGUUUUUAUGGCCCUAUAUAAGAUUUAGCUCUCAGUUUUGGAAUGUGCAUUCAUCUAUAAAAUAUAACCAUCGAACAUUAUGAUUCUGACUAUACCAAUACCGAUAAUUUUGCAAGGCUUGUUGUUUCACAUAAUCACGGCACCUUUCAAAACUCCUUCAUAUGUUGUAAACCAGUCCUUGUUGGGACAUAUAUGGAAAAUACAUGCCAAGUCAAGAAUCUAUUCCUCAUAAGGUUUGAAACCUAUGUUAGAAAUUACAAAAAGCUCUUCUCUACUUUGCCCAUAAAUUCCACAACAUCAGUCUCCAUUGUGUUAACAUGUCUUUUUCCUUUAUUAGGAGCGCCAAUAGCUUUAUUUCUAUUUUUCAAUGAAUAGUAAUCAGCUCUUAUAUGCCCAUUCUUCUUACAAUAAUGACAUACUUUCUCUGUAUGUCUAGAUUUUGAUCUACCCCUCAUCUUGACUCCCAGAUUCUCUAACAAGAUGCCUCAUCUUCUUCUUAGAUAGUAAAGCAUUAUAAGCCUCUUCCACAUUGAGAGUAUCCCAAUUAUAGAGAAUAAUAUCUUUAAAAGUAACAUAUGAUGGUGGCAACGUACACAACAUCAUCAAAGCCAAGUUCUUCUCGUCAUACUUAACUUCCAAUAUCUCCAAAUUGGCUACGAUUUGAACAUAGUUAAGUGAUCAUCUAAUGCUGCACCUUCAAACAUUCGGUGAGAAUACAAGCGUCGUUUCAAUUGUAACUUGCUAGUCAAAUUCUUUCUCAUACAAUGUUGUUCUAACUUUAACCACAAUGUAGCGGCAUUUUUCUCCUUCAUAUCCUGAAGAAUUUGAUUUGAUAGAUUUAGGUGCAUUUGGGAUUGGACGUUUCCAUCCCUACUCUGUUUCUCAUUCUGCGUCCAAGUUGAAGGCAUCUUAUCAAAGCCAAGCAAGGCUUCCUUCAAGUCCAUCUACGUGAGAAGUGCUCACAUCUUCAUUUGCCAUAUAGUAAAUCUCGUGUUUCGAUCUAUGGUUGGCAUGUGAUAGCUUUGCCGCUCGAGCGCUAGGCAAGCGACAAGCAAACAACAAGUCUCUGUAGAAACUAUACAUGAAUCAUUGGAGAAGCAGGCUAGCGAAAAUGAAACAACUUUUCUUUUCGAUCCAUAAUUUUGACCUCUUUAAAACCAGUUCAAUCAAAACUCCAAUACCCACUCGAAUUUGGAUCAAACUAUAGCUGUAAGCAAACAGAUUGGAGAAAGGUAGUUUGGUUCAAGUUUGGGGCUAUCAGUGAAAUUCUGAAUUAUGUUUUGCUGUUAAUUGUAUCAAGAAACUGUAAGGGAAUUUUAUUCCUGAUGAUAAUGCAACCAGCAAUAGCACUUUUGAUGGCAAAGGCAGUGGAAGUAGUGGCAGCAAUAGAGUGGAAGUGGUGGUGCCGGUAAUGUCGGUCCCACCACAUUUACCAGGCAUAGAAGACAAUGUAUAGGCACCACUGAUUUUCUUUUGAAGUUUCUCUUGAAACAUGCAUGAAGGCUGCAACUGCUGUUUUAUUUUGAUUUCUUUUUCUCUGCGCAUAACCCUACAGUAUUUGAUAAUUGAUAGUAAUAACAAUACUUUUGAAUUUAUACAACAGUAGCUGUAUUUUACAGAUAAUGAUACGUACCAUACCUCGUAUCCAUUGUUUAUAGCUGCUAAAAGAUGAUUUUGAUAUCUAAAUAUAAUUCGCUACAACUUUCCUCUAUCUAAUGCUAGUGUCGGCCUUCUAAUCCCAAUUUCAACUCUUAGCCCAACUAGAAUUUAAAAAAAAGAAGAAGAAGGGGGAUUGUAACAAACAGAUGCCCACAAGGCUUAGCAAACUGAAAAAAGAAAAAUUAUACAGAAAUGGACUAACCGAAACAAGUCAUUUAGUACUCAAAAUAAGCAUCAGAAACACCAAUUUUCCAGAAAUUAGACUGUAUGUAAGAAGACUAGUUAAAAUCAGGCCCGAAAUAUGUUCUCUUCAUUAUCAAUUUGGAUGCGUGACAACAUCCAGUUGUGUAACUAGUGAUGGCCGUACCUCUGGUUGUUCUUGUUGCUGCAGGGGCUGUGAGUGAUCACCUUGCCAUGUCCAAACAAUGUCCUUUAAUGAUGGCCUUAUGUCCUGCUUCAUCAUCUUCUGAUAUUCCAGUGUGUCUCCAUUGGAUUUCUUCAUCUCGACUAAAUAAAAACUUGGAGUAACCUCAAAGAUUUCUGCAUCUAUAGACAAAACUCCCUUCCUGCCUUCCUUUGAUCCUUCAAAUUUUAACAAUCCUCCAUCCUUCUUCGAUGCUUUCAGAUUUAGACGCUUUGCUACUUGCUCUAAUUUGGAGACGAUGGUCUUGGAAGGUUGCUUAGAUGUAAAACGGGCUUCUUUCUUUUGAUCAUUUUCCUCGAACAAGCUGGACAAGUCAAAACCGGGUGAAAGGGAGAUGAUAUCGAAGGCAUUCAAGUUUGUAUGCGUUGCAAAAUCUAGUUUCACACCUGUUGUGCUCUUGUUCUCCACAAAACUGAACAUUGUUUCAGCAUCAACUACUGCUUUUUUUACAUCCAUGUCUUGAAUCAGAGAAUCAGCACUACUUUUCGUGACUUUGGAUGGGAAACCCUUACGAAACCAAAAAUUUUCUAUGAUUUUGGAUAUGGAAAUCCUGGUGUUUGGAUUUGGAUCCAGUAUUUUUGAAAUCAGCCUGCGAACAUCAGGAGGAAUCCAGUUAGGAUAUUUGAACUCUGCCUUGCUGAUUUUUCUAUACAUCUCCAUCAGAUUUGAAUCAUGGAACGGGAGAUAUCCAGCUAAUAGAACAUAUAAGAUCACACCACAUGACCAGAUAUCAGCUUUGGCACCAUCAUAGCCCCUCCUGUUGAUCACUUCGGGAGAAACAUAGGCAGGUGUCCCACAUGUUGUGUGAAGUAAACCGUCCUGCCGCUUGGAUUCCGCAAGAGCACUCAAUCCAAAAUCUGAGACUUUUAGGUUUCCAUUUUCAUCCAAAAGCAGGUUCUCAGGUUUAAGAUCCCUGUGAUAAACACCUCUACUAUGGCAGAAAUCAACUGUACUUAUCAGCUGUUGAAAAUAUUUCCUUACAACAUCUUCUUUC